UCAACAACGCAGAUCCACAGCCCAGUAAGGCGCCUUUUGCAGCGAGUGAGUUGUGGACCAAGCUGAAAAUUCGGACGUCGGCGCGGAUAGAAAAACUCUGGAAAAUCUUCACUGGUCAGUAGACAACAAGCUGCCCGAGUUUUUUGCUUUCGUUCAACCACUGCUCAAAGAAAUGGAAAUGGCGGAAAAGAACUGCGAACAGUCGAAGCAACUUCGCCAUGAGCUCAUUCAUCUUCUCGAUCAUGGCUUACGGAAGCAAGGCGGCACAGGAUACAAGGACGAGAAGCAAGUGAAGCUUCCAAGAAAGCUCCACUCCAGGCCGCAGCUGUGUCCUUAGUGCCACAGUUAUCGACUCCGAAUCUGCGUCGACAGAACUGGAUGUACACUCAGCAGGCUAUUCAAAUUUGUGUUGGAGAGACGCUUUAUGUGCGAGUUCUAAAUCUUAACCAACGAAAAGUAAUCGCUAUUUUGAUGAGUGUAAUACAUAUUGUGAGUAAAUGCUGGAGACAGACAGCAUUUCCAACCCAAUAAGAGCGCAAGACUGAAUCAUUGACACGGAUGGUUUAGUGCUAUAUUUUGCAGCUGAACACUACGUAAUGCUUAAUGCAUACUGUAAUGGCUCUCGGCGAAUAGCGAAGUAAGGACAGAAACCAAUAAUCCGAGUUUAAAUUUGGACCUGGAUUUCAGUUGAAAAUUUUAUAAUAGUCGUGCCGUUUUGAAAUAUAAGAGUCGGUGAACAGUUAUUUUUUCCUAUGCAGUUGGGAAGGCGUUAGGUCCAACAGGACCUUUUAACAAGGAACGAAUGGUGGUGCUGUUGUACCUCAGUAUCACGAUGCGUCAAGGCCAACCCACCCGCUUGUUAGUAUUUAAGUGUUAGUAUUGCAACUUUCAUGGUGAAAUUCAGCAUUUAAUGAUGAACUGAAAUACUGCUUCCUCUUUCCAU